CCUACGGGUGGCAGCAGUGGGGAAUAUUGGGCAAUGGGCGCAAGCCUGACCCAGCAACGCCGCGUGAAGGAAGAAGGCCCUCGGGUUGUAAACUUCUUUUAUCAAGGACGAAACAAAUGACGGUACUUGAUGAAUAAGCCACGGCUAACUACGUGCCAGCAGCCGCGGUAAUACGUAGGUGGCAAGCGUUAUCCGGAUUUACUGGGUGUAAAGGGCGUGUAGGCGGGACUGCAAGUCAGAUGUGAAAACCAUGGGCUCAACCCAUGGCCUGCAUUUGAAACUGUCGUGCUCGAGUUGGAGAGAAGUAUGCGGAAUUCGUGGUGUAGCGGUGAAAUGCAUAGAUAGCACGAAGAACCCCGAUUGCGAAGGCAGCAUACCGGCUCCACACUGACGCUGAGGCACGAAAGCGUGGGUAUCGAACAGGAUUAGAUACCCCAGUAGUC
rnacentral:rRNA from 1 species